CAGUAGCCGCGGUAAUACGAAGGGCGCAAGCGUUAAUCGGAAUUACUGGGCGUAAAGCGUGCGUAGGCGGUGAGUUAAGUCUGCUGUGAAAGCCCUGGGCUCAACCUGGGAAUUGCAGUGGAUACUGGAUCACUAGAGUGUGGUAGAGGAUAGUGGAAUUUCCGGUGUAGCAGUGAAAUGCGUAGAGAUCGGAAGGAACAUCUGUGGCGAAGGCGACUAUCUGGGCCAACACUGACACUGAGGCACGAAAGCGUGGGGAGCAAACAGGAUUAGAUACCCCAGUAGUCCCUGUCUCUUAUAC
rnacentral:rRNA from 1 species